rnacentral:rRNA from 2 species
AUUUUGAACCGCAUGGUUCAAAAGUGAAAGACGGUCUUGCUGUCACUUAUAGAUGGAUCCGCGCUGCAUUAGCUAGUUGGUAAGGUAACGGCUUACCAAGGCAACGAUGCAUAGCCGACCUGAGAGGGUGAUCGGCCACACUGGAACUGAGACACGGUCCAGACUCCUACGGGAGGCAGCAGUAGGGAAUCUUCCGCAAUGGGCGAAAGCCUGACGGAGCAACGCCGCGUGAGUGAUGAAGGUCUUCGGAUCGUAAAACUCUGUUAUUAGGGAAGAACAUAUGUGUAAGUAACUGUGCACAUCUUGACGGUACCUAAUCAGAAAGCCACGGCUAACUACGUGCCAGCAGCCGCGGUAAUACGUAGGUGGCAAGCGUUAUCCGGAAUUAUUGGGCGUAAAGCGCGCGUAGGCGGUUUUUUAAGUCUGAUGUGAAAGCCCACGGCUCAACCGUGGAGGGUCAUUGGAAACUGGAAAACUUGAGUGCAGAAGAGGAAAGUGGAAUUCCAUGUGUAGCGGUGAAAUGCGCAGAGAUAUGGAGGAACACCAGUGGCGAAGGCGACUUUCUGGUCUGUAACUGACGCUGAUGUGCGAAAGCGUGGGGAUCAAACAGGAUUAGAUACCCUGGUAGUCCACGCCGUAAACGAUGAGUGCUAAGUGUUAGGGGGUUUCCGCCCCUUAGUGCUGCAGCUAACGCAUUAAGCACUCCGCCUGGGGAGUACGACCGCAAGGUUGAAACUCAAAGGAAUUGACGGGGACCCGCACAAGCGGUGGAGCAUGUGGUUUAAUUCGAAGCAACGCGAAGAACCUUACCAAAUCUUGACAUCCUUUGACAACUCUAGAGAUAGAGCCUUCCCCUUCGGGGGACAAAGUGACAGGUGGUGCAUGGUUGUCGUCAGCUCGUGUCGUGAGAUGUUGGGUUAAGUCCCGCAACGAGCGCAACCCUUAAGCUUAGUUGCCAUCAUUAAGUUGGGCACUCUAAGUUGACUGCCGGUGACAAACCGGAGGAAGGUGGGGAUGACGUCAAAUCAUCAUGCCCCUUAUGAUUUGGGCUACACACGUGCUACAAUGGACAAUACAAAGGGCAGCGAAACCGCGAGGUCAAGCAAAUCCCAUAAAGUUGUUCUCAGUUCGGAUUGUAGUCUGCAACUCGACUACAUGAAGCUGGAAUCGCUAGUAAUCGUAGAUCAGCAUGCUACGGUGAAUACGUUCCCGGGUCUUGUACACACCGCCCGUCACACCACGAGAGUUUGUAACACCCGAAGCCGGUGGAGUAACCUUUUAGGAGCUAGCCGUCGAAGGUGGGACAAAUGAUUGGGGUGAAGUCGUAACAAGGUAGCCGUAUCGGAAGGUGCGGCUG